UUGCAAGAAAUCCCUCAAACUGCGGCUCCAUAAGAUGUAGAACGGUUUUUGUCUGGUUGUGAAUAUGAUUCAUCUUCCCUCCAGAUAAUUUUCAGGUCUUUCCCAGAACCCUCUAAAUUUGCAACUGUUGGCUUUCCGUCUCAAACCGAGGCAAUGAAUGCAUUCCUUGCGAAGAACAAAGGCUUCUGUCAGAAUGGUCAAAUUUUGAUGCGCGUUCUCCAGUAAUCCUGUUUUGUUGGUUCCCUUUGUCAGAAGAAUUGCUAUGAGACAUGAUGAAAUGAGAAUAGGAUUAUGUAGUAUCAUGUCGUUAUUCGGCACUUUAGGAAUUUGCAUGGUAUACGAUGUCUUUUUAUGAGGCCGUGUUUUUAUUUACUUGAUUCAACUCAGGAGUAGAAAUGUGUUCAGUCCUCAUGCAGGAAUGGGUAUUCCAUUCUUUCUUUUAAUCCCAAGUCCUUUUGCUAAUAA